rnacentral:rRNA from 1 species
AUUGAACGCUGGCGGCAUGCCUUACACAUGCAAGUCGAACGGUAACGGGCCUUCGGGUGCCGACGAGUGGCGAACGGGUGAGUAAUACAUCGGAACGUGCCCGAUCGUGGGGGAUAACGAGGCGAAAGCUUUGCUAAUACCGCAUACGAUCUACGGAUGAAAGCAGGGGACCGCAAGGCCUUGCGCGGACGGAGCGGCCGAUGGCGGAUUAGGUUGUUGGUGGGAUAAAAGCUUACCAAGCCGACGAUCUGUAGCUGGUCUGAGAGGAUGAUCAGCCACACUGGGACUGAGACACGGCCCAGACUCCUGCGGGAGGCAGCAGUGGGGAAUUUUGGACAAUGGGCGCAAGCCUGAUCCAGCCAUGCCGCGUGCAGGAUGAAGGCCUUCGGGUUGUAAACUGCUUUUGUACGGAACGAAAAGCCUUCUUUUAAUACAGGAGGGUCAUGACGGUACCGUAAGAAUAAGCACCGGCUAACUACGUG